rnacentral:rRNA from 1 species
GUUGAACGCUGGCGGCAGGCUUAACACAUGCAAGUCGAGCGGACGGCGGACGGGUGGGUGGUGGCGGGGAAACUGCCUGAUGGAGGGGGAUAAGUACUGGAAACGGUAGCUAAUACCGCAUAACAUCAGAUGGGCCCAGAUGGGAUGAUCUAGUAGGUGGGGUAAUGGCUCACCAAGGCGACGAUCCCUAGCUGGUCUGAGAGGAUGACCAGCCACACUGGAACUGAGACACGGCCCAGACUCCUACGGGAGGCAGCAGUGGGGAAUAUUGCACAAUGGGCGAAAGCCUGAUGCAGCCACGCCGCGUGUGUGAAGAAGGUCUUCGGGUUGUAAAGCACUUUCAGCGAGGAGGCGUUACUCGCCGAAGAAGCACUGGCUAACUCCGUGCCAGCAGCCGCGGUAAUUC